ACGGGUCCGGGGGCGGAGAGCGUCCUCUGAGGGUCCCUCUGGUCGUGCGCCUCGCUUUGUGUAACCGGGUCCGCUCUCCGGUGGGGACUCAUGGUUUUUUUUGCUUUGGCAGAGGGAAGGUCAGCUGGAGUUGGGGGUUCGAGGCGUGCGCAAGUAACAGGGUUUUAGCUGGUUCUCUGGCUUGUGGACUCUCUGGGUGCUGGAUCCUAUUGGGGUCUGUCGGUUGGCGCAGCUUGAGAAGGGCUGUUCGUCUGGGGAGGAGUCGGAAUUGGGAAACUGCUUUGUAGGCAGGGAUCCUGCUUUGUGUAAGAUACUGGGUUUCGGAUGGUAGUCCUGGGCAUUUUGGAUGUACGGGAGGGGUCUGCUUGAUGAGGUAUCACCAGGUGUGGGGGUCGGGGGCAGAACGAAGUCGUCUACGUCUAUGCAGUGGUUAGUGAGUGGGACCCAUUUCUGUCGGGUAUGGGGAGACCGUGUGGAUCUGCACCCCCGCUUUGGGGAGUGGGGUAAAGCUUGCUUUGUGUGAAGAGGGCAGAGGAUGGUGCUGCUUUGUGUGAAAAGUCAAGGGUGGAACAAGAGCCCUGGCUCUUAUUUUCUAAAACAAGAAUUGAGUCUGGCGUUUUGCAUAGCUCUGAAUUGAGUUAUCACAUCCAUCUUUCAUUUCCACGUCCUCCUAGGGGCAGAGAAAAAGAGUCCUAUUUUACACUCUAAACCAAAGCUGUAUUGUCAUAAGCUACUUCUUUAUGAAAUUGUGAUCCACACCUUAAUAAUCACUUUCGUAAAUAGAAGGGACAUGGGAGGCUUUCCCUCUCAUUUUAUUAUAAAGAUGUCUGUGGGAAAUUACUUCUCUUAAUUCUUUUUUUUUUUUUUUUUAAAGUCUUAACUUUUAGCUAAAAUGUCUCUGUUAAAAUUAAAACUUCUAAUUUAGUGAAAUACUCUGGUAUUGUAGGGCUGGGACUUUGCAGUGUUCUGAGAUUAUUUAAGAGCUUUCCUGGAUUCAGGCCCUGGUUUUGCCACUUACUAACUGUAUGACCUUGAGCAAGUUACUCUGAGCCUCACUUUGUUCUUCUAUUUGAUGGAGAAAAUAAUAGCACUUACCUCUAGAAUUAUGAAAAUUUAGUAAGAUAAUCCAUGUAUGCAUUUAGCACUGGAUCUGGCAUGUAGUAAACUCUAAAACUAGCUAGUAUUUGUUCGCAAGCCUAGUUAUUUAAAUCAAGAAAUAUUUUGUGAGCUUUUACAUGAUGAUGUAGGAGAUGCUGAAGAUUGUGUUGAUAUGUGCUCAUAAGGCAAUUAUAGUUUUGUUGAGAACUAAGUUUUGUGCAGUUAAAUAAACUGGAAAGUGUACAGUGAAUUACCGAAAGAGUGGUAAAACAAAAAGUACUGACCGUGGUCUGUAACUGGGAAGAAAAUAGUAGUCCAAAGUAGUUGGACCAGUCUUUGAGGAGGAGGUGACUUUGGAGUCAGUGACGAAAGAGCGGGAAGGGCAUUUUAUGCUCUGACAGCUACAAGAGCACAGUCGGAGGUAUUUGUAACUCCCAGUUAGAAGAUGUGAGUAACAGAAGUACUCUUGAGUAUAUAAUGACAAGCCUUUAUUUUAUUACCACGUGAUAUCAAAUAUUAUUAGAGCUGACUAUUGUAGUGACAGUUUUUGAUAUAAAUGUGAAAUUACAUUCUCCCAAAGGAAUCCUGGGUAUGUAUGCACUUGAAAAGAACCCAGAAUCAUGUAAAUAUUGUCACAUGGCUCUUGCAAGUGAUGAUAAUAAUGAUGCUCAUAAUAAUGAAGAUUAGCUGCACUCAUCAGCCCGUUUUAGAUUAUAUAUUAUUAGAACACAUUGAGUCUACUUGGAGAAGCCGAUUAAGUCUUUGGCUGCUUUUGUUCCUGAGCAUGAGCUUCGUUAAGGUAAAGCAAGUCUUCCUUAAAUACUAUACCUGGAGUUUCUUUUGACUAGAUGAUUCCUGCUUAGUGCUUUGAUCCUAGCCUCAUAUCUUGAUAUUAUAGAUGUCAUAUAUUUUUCCUGAGAUUUGUAUGACCCGAAAGUUGGAUAAAUCAUUUAAAAUGCAUUGGGGUAUGUGUUUAGGGUAAAAGUUGUAAAGGGAGGAUGUCAGUUUGUGCAUUUAAUAAA